GGCCCCAUGUGGGGUUGGACUCCAGCGUCCGACCCAGACAAGCCCUUGAGGCCGGGAAUCCCCAGUUCACGGAGGCGCAGGGAGACAGGGACCCCUGGCCACCGGUGCUGGAAGCCGGGCCGGCCCUGGAAAGACCUUUGGCAACAUGGGCUCAGCACCGUGGAAACGCUCGACAUCUCUGACCAGUAAUGCCACGUGUGGGAGGCUCUUCCAAGGAAAUUACCCCAAAUAUGGGGAGAGCGUUAGGCCCAAAGAUACUCACUGUAACGUUAUUUUUAACGACCAAAAAAAAAAAAAAUUGGAAGCAGCUGAAAUGUCCAACCAUCAGGGAGUAGUUUAGUAAAUUAUAGUCCACAGACUCGAUGGAAUACUAGGCAGUCAUUAAAAGUGAUCAUUACAAAGGCUGAGCGGUGAAAUGCAGACGCGUCUGCAGUGUAACGCGGAAGGGAGAGCAGCGGAUAGAACUGUGUGUGCAUUAGGGGUGUAACAUGUAAGAAACACGUGCAGCAGGAAAAAGCCUGGGGGGGUGGAGCGGCAGAGGACAGUGUGGUGAGCUGCGGAGGCGGAGAGCAGCUGCUCUUUUCUGUUUUCUGACUUUUCUAUAAAGUAUGAUAGCUUUAGUAAUUUAAGAUACAGGCACACCUCGCUUUACUGCGCUUCACGGAUACUGCAUUUUCCACAGACUGAAGGUCUGUGGGGACCCGAGUCUAUCGGCACCAUUUUCCCAAGAGCGUCUGCUCGCUUCGUGUCUCUGUGUCACAUUCUGGUAAUUCUUGAAAUAUUUCAAACCCUCCGCCAGCCAAAAGAUUACAACUCAUUAAAGGCUCAGAUGAUGGUUAUAGCAUUUUUUAGUGAUAAUGUAUUUUUCUUUAAGGUAGGUCCAUUGUUUUUUAGACAUAAGGUUAUUGCAUACUUAAUAGACUACAGUGUAGGGCAAACACAGCUUUUAUCUGCACUGGGAAACCGAGAAGUUGGUGUGAGUGGCUUUACCGCGAUACUCUCUUCUUUGCGGUGGUCUGGAGCCAAACCCGUGACAUCUCCGACGUGUGCCUGUGCUUAAUAAACAGAGUUAUUGCAGGAUGUCAGGAUUGUGAAACGGCCGUGAAGAACAAGCCUGUUUGUCAGAGGAGGAACUGGAGGCUUGAAGGCCUCAAGUAACCUGCCCAGAGCCAUGAAGCUGGUAAGUGGGUGAGCACCCCAGAAAUGGCUCUCCUAGGAUUGUGCAGUGUACAACUUACAUCACGGUCCAGGGCCUGCAUCAGGGUUCAGACCCAGGUCAACCCGAGUUCAGAGUCUGGGCUUUCCCACCUGGCCCCAGGCCCUGUGCCAGAAACACAACAAUGAGAAGUUGUCCUACAGGCCUCAGGGAGCUCAGAAAGCAGGGAGAGAGGAGGACACGGGAAAGAAAACCGCAAAGGUGAUGGAGACGAUGAUGGCGCUGCCGGUGAUAAAGGCACUGAUGGUCCUGGCGACGAAGGUGAUGGUGCCGGCAGUGGCCAUCAUUCGUUCAGUGCUCUUCAUGUACCAGGCACUGUGCUAAGUCUUUCAGAUAAAGUAUUUGGGAGGUGGGUACUAUCCUGCCUAUUUGGUCUUUCAGCCCGUGAAGGGAAGGGCUGAUAUUUUCACCUGAGUCCACAUGAUUCCUGGGUCUGGGCUGGACAAAGGCCCGAAGGAGGCUGGGUGUAAGGGGCUAGGACUGAGGUCUAUGCAGAGGGAGUCUAGCCCCUCCCCCUCCAGCAGAGGGAGGGGAGACACGAUGGGCAGAGCUGAUCCACAUUGUUGGGGGGGGCCCAGAUACGGCCCCUGCCUGGCGGGUUGAUGCCAGGCCAGCAGUGAGGGGACCAACAGCCCUGGGGUGCAGAUGCCUGGGGCUGAGUGGGGGGGCGUCAACCUGCUCGCGUUCCUGUUUUGCAGAUGGAGGUUGAACGCUGCGGAGGGGCAGGCGUAUCCGCCAUGGUUUUUAUUUUCUGUAUUUUACGACGCUUUGAUGUCUCAGGGGCCCUGCUGGCCAGGAAGAAAGUGCCCCUUGCCCCAGGGUUAGCUGGUCUGAGAGGUAACAGAUACUCCCAUGAGCGCGCCUAUCGUACGGAACCAGCCAACACAGAGCCCACCCCUCCUCUCUCAGGCUCCCACGCUCCCAGGGCAAUAUUUCCCUGCCCUCAGUCGCCCAGGGCCAGGAAGCAGACAGCUGGAGACCCCCCUAUAGCCCAGAGCCUGCCCCAGUUCUUCACUCCAUCCAACCAUAAGCCAGUGCACUGCUGACCCCGCCUCACCCUUUCCAUCCCCUGAAAACUGCAGUAAAGGCUCUGGGCCCUGCUGCCCCCAGGUUCCUUCUGCCUCUGGACUGACCCGCUGCUGCCCCGUGUGGCCCUGCCUGGCCUGCCCCCUCCUCUGGGGAACUGUGAGUGAUGAACUCUUCUUUCAAGGCAGUGGUCUCCACGUCUGUCACCUUACAUACCUGAUUAGGAUACAUCAUGGGUGCAAAUCUCAACAUGGCAGGGGGGGCCUUGGGCCACAUGGCAGAUGCAAGUUCAGACACAGGCUGUCUGGCUGGCCCGUCACGGAGCUGCUGAGGUGGGGUGAGCAGGGGUGAGCAGGGGCCACGGUUGUCCUGUGUGCUGGGUGGCCAUGGGGCAGUGGGAGGGGACGCGCCUUCUGAAUUCUGCUCAUCGCCCGCUGCUAGGUGACUGGGGCGGGUCUCCACCUCUCUGCGGGUCUCCUCUGUGGACUGGAGACCUGGGCCUGGGAGCUGCCGGCCGGCCGGGAGGGUGCCGUCCGAGCCAGGCUGCAGGGGGCCGCUGAGCUGAGCGCCAGGUGGGCAUGGGGCCGUCACCCCCCAGUAGAGCCACCGCCCUGCCCAGGACCCACUUGGCAGCCCCUGUAGGCGGCAGAGGGCAGGCAGGGCCAAAGCCGGGCUGGGGUGUAGGGGGAGGGCGGUAGCCGGCGGGCCCCCGGCCGCCUCACCCCUGUUCCUGCGGGUCGGCAUCUGGCCCUGGCCCAGCUCCCCUCCUCCGGGCCCGGUGCUCUCUGUCCACUGGGCCGCCUCCCCAGGGGUGCCAGGCCCUGAGUGCACGGCCACGGCCAGCCUGGCCGCGUCAUUGAAGGCUCCCUCCCGUAAUUGGCAAUUUUGUCAUAUUUAUUCACAACAGAUCGGAUCGCCAGGAGCUUGCUGCGGCUCUCCGGAGGCCCGCCGUGAAAUCGGUUUGAAAUGGUGUGUCAGGUUUUUCUCUCCCUGCUGAAGCGACCAUCUGGCUGCCGGGCCAGGGCUGGGCUGAUACACUGACCCGGGGAAUCGCGGCUAAGCCGCUCCCGGGGGCCCACACGCCCGCGCGCCGCUCUGGCCUCCCCCAUGGGCUCGGCUGCAGGGGGAGACCUGGGCGGGGCGGGGGGGCAGGAGGCGAGAGCCCCCGGGCACCACGCUGGCCAUCCAGGCACUGCCAGGUUGGCACCUCUCCCACAGCCCUACCCCGGGUGGCCCGGAUCUCAGCGGCUGAGCAGAAUUGAAGGGCGGAUUCUCAACCACUGCGCCACCAGGGCAGCCCCAAGGAAAAUAGCAAACACUGGCAAGGAUGUGGAGAAAUUGGAAUGCUUGCACCCUGUUGGUGGGAGUGUAAAUUGGUAACACAAUGGUGGAAAACAGUACAGAGUUUCCC